rnacentral:rRNA from 1 species
GUGGGGAAUUUUGGACAAUGGGCGAAAGCCUGAUCCAGCCAUGCCGCGUGCAGGAUGAAGGCCUUCGGGUUGUAAACUGCUUUUGUACGGAACGAAACGGUCCUGGCUAAUAUCCGGGGCUAAUGACGGUACCGUAAGAAUAAGCACCGGCUAACUACGUGCCAGCAGCCGCGGUAAUACGUAGGGUGCGAGCGUUAAUCGGAAUUACUGGGCGUACAGCGUGCGCAGGCGGUUUUGUAAGACAGGCGUGAAAUCCCCGGGCUCAACCUGGGAAUUGCGCUUGUGACUGCAAGGCUGGAGUGCGGCAGAGGGGGAUGGAAUUCCGCGUGUAGCAGUGAAAUGCGUAGAUAUGCGGAGGAACACCGAUGGCGAAGGCAAUCCCCUGGGCCUGCACUGACGCUCAUGCACGAAAGCGUGGGGAGCAAACAGGAUUAGAUACCCCAGUAGUCC